rnacentral:lncRNA from 1 species
CCACCUCCAACUCCCUCAUCAAUACACGAAUUCUUCUCCCUUGACAGCCCAAUAUACCACCACCAAUAACCCCAAAUCAGUUCCAUGACAGCCGACUAAUAUCACCGAGAACCCCCAAAAUCAGAGCCCUACACUUUUUGAGAGAAAUAAGAGAGGAGAUUGAAUGAUCCUGGAUUUGAGGAGAGGAAUUUAAUUCGAGGUGAUCGAACAAAGAAGACAAACUACUUGAAUUGAUGAGAUGAUUAGAUUAAACUUACAGUGAUGUUGAGAUUUGAGAGAGGAAAUCAAUUAAACACCGAUCGAUUUCUGAAUCAAGAAAUUAUCGAUGAUGGCCCUAGCUGCUUCUGAUCCUGCCGACACCACCAAUAUUUGCAGUCACUAGUGACGUUACCCUCAACCCAGUGGUUUGAGUCAG